CCUACGGGAGGCAGCAGUGGGGAAUAUUGCGCAAUGGGCGAAAGCCUGACGCAGCGACGCCGCGUGAGGGAUGAAGGUCUUCGGAUCGUAAACCUCUGUCAGCAGGGAAGAACGGUCACUGUGCUAAUCAGCAGUGAAUUGACGGUACCUGCAAAGGAAGCACCGGCUAACUCCGUGCCAGCAGCCGCGGUAAUACGGAGGGUGCGAGCGUUAAUCGGAAUUACUGGGCGUAAAGCGCUCGUAGGCGGUAUGUCAAGUCAAGGGUGAAAUCCCCGCGCUCAACGUGGGAACUGCAUUUGAAACUGGCAAACUGGAGUGUGGGAGAGGAGAGUGGAAUUCCAGGUGUAGGAGUGAAAUGCGUAGAUAUCUGGAGGAACAUCAGUGGCGAAGGCGACUAUCUGGCACAUAACUGACGCUGAGGAGCGAAAGCGUGGGUAGCAAACAGGAUUAGAUACCCGGGUAGUC
rnacentral:rRNA from 1 species